CCCCAUGGAAAUGGGUAAAGAAACACCUUGGUGGUGGUGUUCUUCUAUCUGUCAGUGGCAGAGCAUCUGGCAGUCCAUUGAUUUUCCUAGAUUGAUGCUUGACUUUGUGGCCAAAGCUGUUUUAUGCCUAUGACACAUAC
rfam:Mus musculus chromosome 14, GRC primary reference assembly.